rnacentral:rRNA from 1 species
GUCUAUAGCCAUAUCACCCUGAUUGUGCCUGAUCGCAUCUGAUCUCAGAAGCCAAGCAUCCUUGGGCCUGGUUAGUACCUGGAUGGGAGACCAACUGGGAAUACCCGGUGCCAUAGACU